CCUACGGGGGGCUGCAGUGGGGAAUAUUGCACAAUGGGGGAAACCCUGAUGCAGCGACGCCGCGUGGGUGAAGGAGUAUUUCGGUAUGUAAAGCCCUAUCAGCAGGGAAGAACAAUGACGGUACCUGACUGAAAAGCACCGGCUAAAUACGUACCAGCAGCCGCGGUAAUCCGUAGGGUGCAAGCGUUAUCCGGAUUUACUGGGUGAAAGGGGAGCGCAGGCGGCGCGUUAAGACUGGUGUGAAAGCCCGCGGCUCAACCGCGGUACUGCAUUGGGAACUGGCGCGCUGGAGUGCGGGAGGGGUAGGUGGAAUUCCUAGUGUAGCGGUGAAAUGCGUAGAUAUUAGGAGGAACACCAGUGGCGAAGGCGGCCAACUGGACGGUGACUGACGCUGAGGAGCGAAAGCGUGGGGAGCAAACAGGAUUAGAUACCCGAGUAGUC
rnacentral:rRNA from 1 species